GGAUGAAACUGAGGAAUAGACAGAUAUAGGGGAGGCAAUCAAUAAAGUGAUGAAGUCCAGGUGAGUCCAAUGAAGCACUCAUGCGUGCAAAGAUGGUGACAGGUGUGCGCAAUGAUGGGCAGCCCGGCGCACUUGACUGGGACUGCAAGAGAGGGGAAGCGGGAGCAGUGUGACAGUUCUAAACAUUUUACUCAACAUAAGGCUUUGAUUUCAACUUCAAUGUUUCUGAAAUCAUGAAGACUCUCAGGACUACUCAAAAGAAACACAAGGGUUGGCUCUGGGUCAAAAAGUAACAUAAACCCUCAUACAGCACGCCCGCCAAGACUGCAGAGGAGGAGGCAGGAGGGAAGGGAUUGCUGUGACUGCCCCAUCAUAAAAACAGAAUCUGAGGACAUCACAUCAACAACAGCUUCCGCCAGAGGUUUACGACCAGAGAGUGAAACCACUGAGGCUGGAUGAAACCAGGGGCUGUCGGGCAGUUGUCAGAAAGUGUCCUCUCUUCUUCCUUAGGGCCUGUUGGGUCCAAUGUUCUUUUCCGACACAAAAUACCUCCGUCCAUCGGUCUUUAAGGGAGAAUGAAAUAUGGAUAGAAGGAUGAAUGAAUGGAAAUAUGAGUGUAAGGAAGAAUGGAGGGAUGGGUGAAUGAGUGUAAUGAGGGGAGGAGAGAUGAGUUUAAUAAAAGAAGGAUGAAUGACUGUAGUAGACAGACACACACAACCUCCCUGAUGCAAAAAAGGGAACAGUGAAUGUUAAUGAGAUAACAUCUCGAUACAGACUGGCUCAUCAUAUCUGUAUGUAACAUUCAUGAUGACCUGCAGUGACAUGGAACCUCGAUCUCUUCUGACAGGAAGUAGCGUUGCAGUGGCCUAACCCAGGGAGAGACACAGCCCCCGGUGGUGGCCCUUGGCACUGACACAUCUUGGCAGACACACUUCACAAGGUCACCAGUGCAUUAAAGCAACAGUAAAGGUUAAAGCUGAAGUAACUGACUGCCCAGUCUCACACGACCCCGGGGCUGCUUUCAACAACUCUGUCCUGUCACAUUCCUUCUAGCUCGUUCAUUUUCUCGAAGCAAUGUUUGACAUUUGUUAUUUUCUCUGGGAGUUUAGCUAAUACUAAUUCCUGUGAAAUUCCUCGUGUUGAUUUGGUAAAAGAGCACAGGCUACACAACUCAAAAAGCUUCUGUAGUCCAGAAUGGGAACGCAAAUCCCCCAUCCCCAUCAAAGCAUUGUGGAGUCACUUUGAGUGACUUUAAUACUGAUUAAGCUGACAAUGGUGUGAUGGCUUGAGCCUUCUGGAGAUGGACCUUAUAUUAGGAAAUAGGCCAGGCACUGUGCAGUGGUAGUGGUCAGGACUGAGCCAUACAUACGUAUAUCCUCUUCUUACAGCCCCUCCUGACCUUGUGAAGGGUUUAUGGCUGAACAAGGUAAAGGUUUUUGUCAGCAUAAACUGUUAUUGUGCUCCUCUGCCACGGCGGGAAACAUCCUGACUCGGCACAGUCCGAAAUACAGUAUAUCCCUCCCCCUGGUAUGUUUCAUCCGUUUAUCCUUUCAAGGGUGACUGUGAGUGCCGUGGUCUGGAAUUCACACUCUGUCUCUCUAUCCUUUUUUUUCUCCCUCUCUCUCUUUUACUCCAUCUUCUGACUCUCUCUCUCUGAGUAGAAAGGAACAUGGAGAACCGAGGCCAUCCAACAACAUUGGCAAAAUAUUAGGGAGUUUCACACUUUCAAGUUUAUGGGGAUAGCAUAAGAAAACCAAAGUCACAAUUUCUAGACAAGGCCUAUAGCCUUUAAUCAUACUGUGUCGGUCUGAGGAGAAUGAAGCAUUUGUGUUUUGAUUGAUUGAUGGAUUCCAACGUAACCAAGUACUUCAGAAGCAUAUGUAGCAAACAAGAACAACGCAUCAAUCAAGACAGCAAGAGGAUCCAGCUGUCUCCAGCAUCAGUCAGUCUGGAGCAUCUGACUACUCUGCUCUUAAAUCAUCCUGGAGAGAAACAAAUUGUUCUGUCUUUACGGCAGAGUUUCCGACACGUCAACAGAAACUGAAUGAACUUCCAAGCAUUUCAAAUAUCAGGUACUGAAAAAAGUACAUUGAAAACAGGUUUUUAUUGUAAACAUGUCUCAAUAUUCUUGUUCUGUCUGUAUGAUUGAUUUGUGCUGUUUUUAAAGAUGGAACACAGGAAUAAUUGUUGUUGCUAUAAAGUAACAGACAAUGAAUAAAGAAAUCACCUGUAAGUAAGUGAACGUUGUCACCUCA